rnacentral:rRNA from 1 species
UAAUCGAUAAUCCACGUAAAAUUUCACUUAUUUUAUUAAUUUGUAUACCGUCAUUAUUAUAUAACUUUUAGAGAAAUAGAUAUUAAAAUUUAAUUUUUAAAGAAUAUUAGAUCAAGGUGCAGUUUAUAAGUAAGUAAAAAUGGGUUACAAUAAUAUUUGUUAUAUGGAGUAUAAAAUUAAAUUUUUAUGUGAAGGUGGAUUUAAUUGUAUAUUUUUUUUUAAUAAGAAAUAUUGAUAUUGGCUCUAGAGUGUGUACAUAUCGCCCGUCGCUCGCGGGAAAA